AUACCAUUCUCGGCCUUUUGGCUAAGAUCAAGUGUAGUAUCUGUUCUUAUAAGUUUAAUAUUUGAUAUAUGGGCCAUCGGCCAAUCUUAUUUUUCACAAGGAAAGAUCCAUCACAAUAGCUUGCUAUUGGGGCCUUUGAGUGUCUAGGUAAAGCAGGUUGUUCCGAAUUAGUAACUUUUUUA
rfam:Helianthus annuus linkage group 3, whole genome shotgun sequence.